GAUGAAACACCAGUUCCCGUACGACCACCGCAGUUAAGCAACGUAAAACCAUGUCAGUACCUAGAUGGGUGACCGCUUGGGAAUAUCAGGUGCUGUAA